rnacentral:tRNA from 1 species
UAUAUGUUAUUGUAAGGAAGCAUGAAAAAUUUUGAGUUUUUAGGAUAUAGUUAAAACUAUGACGUAUAA